AGAGAGAGACAUGCGCGCAUAUCAAUAAGCGGAGGAAAAGAAACUAACGAGGAUUCCCCUAGUAACGGCGAGUGAAGCGGGAAGAGCUCAAAUUUGAAAUCUUAAAGGGUUUCCCUUUACGAAUUGUAGUUUAAAGAAGUGUUUUCUGUUGAGGUUUUGGUAAAAGUUCUUUGGAACUAGGACAUCAUAGAGGGUGAGAAUCCCGUAUUUGACCUUUACUUUCAACUUUGUGAUACACUUUCAAAGAGUCGGAUUGUUUGGGAAUGCAGUCCAAAAUGGGUGGUAAAUUUCAUCUAAAGCUAAAUAUUGGCGAGAGACCGAUAGCGAACAAGUACCGUGAGGGAAAGAUGAAAAGAACUUUGAAAAGAGAGUUAAACAGUACGUGAAAUUGUCAAAAGGGAAGCGUUUGACACCAGUGUUGUUUUUCUGAAAAUCAAUUAAAGAACUGUUUAUGCUAAGCUGUUUAGACUUUAUCAGCUAUCUGUUUAGUUUUGAGCUUUUCUUUAAUGCACUUUUCAGUUAACAAGUCAACAUCAAUUUCUUUUGCUGUAAAAAAGCUUGAGGAAGGUGGCUUGAGAUUCGUCUUAAGUGUUUAUAGCCUCUUGCCUAUGCAGUCGGAGAGAUUGAGGUCUGCAGCGUAGAUCCUUCGGGGCUAAAUGCAUUUGUGCUAAGUUAUAGCAUUUUAUAGACAACUUGUUGACUAUGAUUUGUCUUGUAGCUUACUCGCUUAUGUUAUUUUACCUACGCUUAGGAUGUUGACGCAUGAGAUAUACGC
rnacentral:rRNA from 1 species